UGCACAACUAGGUGAGUACAAGUAGGUGAGUACACACACACACAAUGCUGAGCCCCUCCCUCAAAAAAAAAAAAAAAAUCACGGAUGAGAAAGAAAAAAAACAGCCUUUAACAUUUUUGCAAACUGUAUUUUUGUAUGAGCGUGUUUGUAUUAGCGGCGGCCAGGAGGUGGUGGCGGGUGGCAGCAACCCGAGGCAUUACCGGCCAGGAGGUGGUGGCGGGUGGCAGCAACCCGAGGCAUUACCGGCCAGGAGGUGGUGGCGGGUGGCAGCAACCCGCAGCAUUACCGUCGACGCAGUAGUCCGAGUCUUUUGCAGUAUUUUCAUACUUUUAGGGGGGGGGGGGGGGGAAGUAGUUUGGCAGUUUACGGUUUUGAGACAGGUAAACUUUAAUAAAUUAUUCCUAAAGGAAAACACAGCUAUAAGUUGUAGGAAAUGUAAUUAUGUAAUUGUUGUGGGUUGAGUGUAAUGCCUUAAUCCGCGCUGUUGUGUCUUGAUCCCUGCCUGUUACUGCUGGCCUGCCCCGGCGUGGCCCGGGUCUCUCUCGUGUACUUGGGGUGCACUCUCUAGUGUCUUACUCGCACAUGUGCUGGGUGCCACACACACACACUACAUGUGCUGGGGGCCACACACACACUACAUGUGCUGGGGGCCACUCACAC